AACGAACGCUGGCGGCAUGCCUAACACAUGCAAGUCGAACGAGACCUUCGGGCCUAGUGGCGCACGGGUGCGUAACGCGUGGGAACCUGCCCUUAGGUUCGGAAUAACUCCCCGAAAGGGGUGCUAAUACCGGAUAAUGUCUUCGGACCAAAGAUUUAUCGCCUUUGGAUGGGCCCGCGUUGGAUUAGCUAGUUGGUAGGGUAAAAGCCUACCAAGGCGACGAUCCAUAGCUGGUCUGAGAGGAUGAUCAGCCACACUGGGACUGAGACACGGCCCAGACUCCUACGGGAGGCAGCAGUGGGGAAUAUUGGACACUGGGCGAAAGCCUGAUCCAGCAAUGCCGCGUGAGUGAUGAAGGCCUUAGGGUUGUAAAGCUCUUUUACCCGGGAUGAUAAUGACAGUACCGGGUGAAUAAGCUCCGGCUAACUCCGUG
rnacentral:rRNA from 1 species